rnacentral:tRNA from 1 species
ACCAGGUUGGCCGAGUGGUUCAAGGCGCCAGACUUAAGAUCUGGUCUCCGAUUGGAGGCGUGGGUUCGAACCCCACAUCUGGUA